rnacentral:rRNA from 1 species
UACGUAGGGGGCAAGCGUUGUCCGGAAUCAUUGGGCGUAAAGAGCGCGUAGGCGGCCCUGUAAGUCCGCUGUGAAAGUCAAGGGCUCAACCCUUGAAUGCCGGUGGAUACUGCUGGACUAGAGUGCGGAAGAGGCGAGUGGAAUUCCCGGUGUAGCGGUGAAAUGCGCAGAUAUCGGGAGGAACACCAAUUGCGAAGGCAGCUCGCUGGGACGUUACUGACGCUGAGACGCGAAAGCGUGGGGAGCAAACAGG